UACGUAGGGUGCGAGCGUUAAUCGGAAUUACUGGGCGUAAAGCGUGCGCAGGCGGUUCGUUAAGUCAGAUGUGAAAGCCCCGGGCUCAACCUGGGAACUGCAUUUGAAACUGGCGGGCUUGAGUGUGGCAGAGGGGGGUGGAAUUCCGCGUGUAGCAGUGAAAUGCGUAGAGAUGCGGAGGAACACCAGUGGCGAAGGCGACUUUCUGGUCUGUAACUGACGCUGAGGCGCGAAAGCGUGGGGAGCAAACAGG
rnacentral:rRNA from 1 species